ACGCUCGACACCUAAGGCAGCAGUGGGGAAUAUUGCACAAUGGGGGGAAACCCUGAUGCAGCAACGCCGCGUGAAGGAAGACGGUUUUCGGAUUGUAAACUUCUGUUCUUAGUGAAGAUAGUGACGGUAGCUAAGGAGCAAGCCACGGCUAACUACGUGCAGCACGCCGACGGUAAUCUGGAGGCGGGUCGUGGACGAAGGC
rnacentral:rRNA from 1 species